rnacentral:misc_RNA from 1 species
GAUGAAGAACGCAGCGAAAUGUGAUACGUAAUGUGAAUUGCAGAAUUCAGUGAAUCAUCGAAUCUUUGAACGCACAUUGCGCCUGCCAGCACUCUGGCAGGCAUGCCUGUUCGAGCGUCAUUUCAACCAUCAAGCCCUAGGCUUGCGUUGGAGCCCUGCGGCUGCCGCAGGCCCCUAAAAGCAGUGGCGGGCUCGCUAUCACACCGAGUGCAGUAGAUUACUCUUCGCUCAGGGCGUGUGGCGGGUUCCAGCCGUGAAACCCCCUACUUCUCAAGGUUGACCUCGGAUCAGGUAGGAAUACCCGCUGAACUUAAGCAUAUCAAUAAGCGGAGGA